UUUUUGUUUUAAACCAUUUAACAAUACUGAUUAUACUGUGGGGACGAAAGUCUCUGCUUUUAACUAGAUAGCAACUUUCAGCAGUGGAUGUCUAGGCUCGCACAUCGAUGAAGAACGCUGCGAACUGCGAUACGUAAUGCGAAUUGCAGGAUUCAGUGAGUCAUCGAAAUUUUGAACGCAUAUUGCACUUCCGGGUUAGUCCUGGGAGUAUGCCUGUAUCAGUGUCCGUACAUCAAACUUGGCUUUCUUCCUUCCGUGUAGUCGGUGGAGGAUGUGCCAGAUGUGAAGUGUCUUGCGGUUUGUGUGCCUUCGGGCCGAGGCUGCGAGUCCUUUGAAAUGUACUGAACUGUACUUCUCUUUGCUCGAAAAGCGUGGUGUUGCUGGUUGUGGAGGCUGCCUGCGUGGCCAGUCGGCGACCGGUUUGUCUGCUGCGGCGUUUAAUGGAGGAGUGUUCGAUUCGCGGUAUGGUUGGCUUCGGCUGAACAGACGCUUAUUGUAUGCUUUUCCUGCUGUGGCGUGAUGGGCUGGUGAACCGUAGCUGUGUGUGGCUUGGCUUUUGAAUCGGCUUUGCUGUUGCGAAGUAGAGUGGCGGCUUCGGCUGUCGAGUGUCGAUCCAUUUUGGGAACUUUUGUGUGCGCUUUCGAGUGUGCAUCUCAAUUGGAC
rnacentral:rRNA from 1 species